UGCAGACAAAACGUGAUGCAAAAAGUUCAUGUAUGUCUCCGUCUUUUGAGGCUCACCACUGGCUGGAUUCCCUUGAAGCCUCUAUAAAAACUGAUUUCUUCCCUUCUGUCAAUCAAGGGAGUAAAUUAAAAAACAUCAGCAGUGCAAAUUAAGAAGAUCUUGGAGAAUGACAAACAAAGUUGCUGCACUUUUGGUCUUGUGCCUUGUUCUUGUUGCUGCAGUUGAGCUUCCUAAAGCUGCCGCUGAUGCGUACGGCUCCUGCUUCAACACCUGCGAGCAGGAAUGCCGAAUUGGUGGCCAAGGCCAAACCUUCUGUGAAAUGAAGUGCGACACUGACUGCUUCAACAAGGACGUCGGAGCCAAACUGCAUUUCACGGCUCCUUGAGCAGCACCAAUGUGUAAACUUGGUGAAGGCACCCUUUCUCCCUGUAAAAGACAGGAUUGUAUCAAAUGAUGGAGGAAUUCAGUAACGAUUUGGUUUCUCUCUUUUGCAAUAAAUCCAUAAAUCUACCAAGUUUUAUAUUA